GCUUUGGUUUUCAAGCAACAACUCAACACACACACACACACACACACACACACACACACACACACACACACACACACACACACACACACACACACACACACAAACACUCACACACACUCUCUCUCUCACUAUUAUUUACAACAACACAUGCGCACUCGCUGUUUUUGCGCUCCCUCUUUCAUACACACAUACCCACUCAUUCACUCUCAAACACACACCCAUCACACAGACACACCAAUCUCUGCCCCCACAUCCCUUAAUGCACAUAAAAGCAAAUCCACACCACCACUCCUGACAUAGACCCACAUUGAUUAAGAAACAAACCUAAACGGGAGGGUAUUGAUUAAAUACCUGCAGAGUUCCAGCCCCUGUGGUCUCCAACUUCUUCAGCUGAUCCAGAUCUGCUGUUUUUGGCAUGUUGACAUUGGAUGAAUGUAGAGCCUGGGCAUCUGUCAGUGCUUGCUGAUUUCUCAGAGCACACAUUAUCAUUUCCUGGGUACUAUUCCAUCUCGCUGACACAUCUGUGACUCUUUCAUGUGACAAUGAGCGAUUUUCUGCUGUUCCAGCUCAUUUUGCUCCAUUGCAUUUGAUGGACUAUGCUUGAAAUUGCAGACUACAUUUCUGCAUUUUGCAAACGCGCUGUUGGAUGGACUGUUCUGUAGAGAAACUGUUUGUUGGAGACUGUGUGCGAUGCAAGGCAUAUGCUCAAACAGGUGCUCCCUGGCUGCUGCAAUCAUGUUGCGUGUGGUCAAUGUGCUCACUUUAUUUUCAAUGUCCCACUCUCCAGCUACUUUUAAGAUGUCCUCAGCACAUGCUUCAGCAAAAAUGCCUCUCCUCUAUUUUCGUUACAGUCAAAGCAUGCGACUGAUGUUCCCACUGGGGGUCAAAAUAAUAUGCAGUGACUCCAAGGUAACUGAUUACUGAGAGAAGUCCAGUGGUCUCCAGCAUGGCGAUGUUUGACUGCCUGAGUGUUUCCUCCACCUUAGCCUUCUCAGGUCAUAGAUCUUUGUUACAACAAAGGGAAGUUCAUAAGUACUGUCACUGUCUCACUAAUUGGUCUGCAAGUUGUGGCCACACAUUUAACUACGGCUGUUAAAAGUUAUUGCUUCCAGAUUUGUCUAUACAUCUCAUUUGUAAACUAUUCAGCGUGGCCUGCUAUUGGCAGGAGGGAUGAGGGCUUGCUGGAUAAGCUGUGUUCCUGGCCAGCAAGUUGUAUCUCAGAGUUGAUGGUUACUCGGUCCACGUGUACAGUAAGUGCAAUUAAAUUUCAUCUUGUUCAGGGAACCAUCAUGUAGCUCUUUAAAGCUAAACUUCUGCAGGACCUGUUUAUUUAUCUGUGCUUGCUUUACUAGCUCUUUUUCUGCCGACAACCACAGCUGCUUGUUACACUGGCCAUUUAGCGAGCAUUUAUGAGUUACAGACUAUAAAGCAGGAAUUCUUCUAAACAUUGACUAUACAGCACCUGGUCUCUAUACCGUGUUAUUGUCUCUAAUUAUUUUACAUUAGCAUUCAAAACCAAACAAAGCUAAAAACAGUCACCACAAGGCCCUCUCGUGGUUAGAGCCACAGCCAAUGGUGAGAGUGGAAAAACAUUGAUUUUCUUGUGCCACUUGUUAUAACUACAGUGAGAUACUUCCAGAGGCCUUAAAUGUUAAAGGGGGCUAAAGGUCACAUUAAAGACAUCAUAUAAUAGCAGUAUAUAAAAGUUUAGAGAAGGUAUGUGCAUUAAUCAAUGAUGAAAAUAUUAGUGGCAAAAAUGGAACUUGUGUUAACCAAUUAUCAAAGCGUCAACUCUGACAGCCUUAACAUACUGUGUAUAUAAUUGUCUUCUGACCACUGAAAGUUCUGGUAUGUUGCACGUCACCUUCACCGGUACACACCCAAUUCAUACACUGAUGACAAAGGCUGAAAUUUUAGGUCUCAUUCGUUGACUAAUUCCAUUCACACACUGCUGGCAUCCCCACCUGGCCAGCUUUUUUGGUAAAGUGUCUUCAGCAUGCAGGCAGUGGGAUCAAAUCCCAACCUUAAGAUUCAGAGACAACCUGAUUCUACCGCUGAGAUACAGUGUCCCUUCUGUCUGUUUAAACACUGCAUGACUUUUCAUGUAACAGAAAGUAAUGAAAUGAGAUGGAGCAGUCACAGACCAGUCAACAAACUGCAAUUACAGCCAUUGCAUUACUUUUGACUGACAGGCUUGUUGAAGACAAUGACUCAUGCUGUAGCAUUACCAGAUACAGUAUGAAUGUGUCUGACAAAGCUGCCCAGCAAAUGUUCUUGGUAAUAUUGGACCACAUUUGUAACCGUUGGUACCCACAAGCAACAAUUGGCAAUCACCAUGUACAUUCAAAUGAUGGAACCUUUUUCAAAAUAAAGUAAAAGAAAGGAAUUGUAUUUAGCCCUUCACAUCACAGGCUUUGAAAACCCUCCUCGAAGUAACAUUUCUGACCUUCCAUUAAAUAAUGAACAUAAACAACAGUCAGCAGUUACUCUCCAAAACUGUCAGUGACCAAUUGGAAGUUGUCACUAUCAAUCAUUAAUUAUUGAGUGAUGACAGACAGCUUUAACUGUGUUAUUGUCCUCUGCAGUUCCCGGUGUGCAAUUUCUGGAGAGGAUACAGGGGACCACACAGAUGUAACUGUUUGGAAGGGGCCAGGGGGUUUAAAAUGCCAGGGCGGAUUAAUUCACCUCCUGCCACGACGGCUGCCCGCUGUUUAGAUCCACAGCCCGACAGCUGUCCUCACUGGCUUUGAUAUGAGAGGGCUGUGGAGGCUGAGACGGACAGGAGGGGGAAAGGAUAGAGGGAACCGAAAAAGCAGAGAGAGACAGCGGGGAAGAGGAUGACUGCUUUCUAUAACCAAGGACAAAGUCCAGAUUGGAUAGGCGUGUGUAUGAUUGACAGGGCUUUGCUUUUGAUCAGUCAGGGAAGAAAAGGGAUGGUACAAGUGAGUGUGUUGCUCUCUCUCUCUCUCUCUCUCUCUCUCCCUUUCUCUCUCUUGCUCUCUCUCUCUCUCUCUCUCCUGCUCUGUGUGUGUAUGUGUGUAGCUAGGUGACAGUCCCCAUGGAGACAGCAAGACUAGCAUUCAGUCAAGUGAGGGGAAGGGAUCACGGUGUAUGAGUGAGUGUGUCCAUACAUGUGUGACUUCACUGUGCUCAAGUGUGACAGUUAUGAGAUGAGACUGAUGCCCAGUGUUUGAGUCUUUGGUUCUUCCAUUGUGGCAGGGGGCUUAUUCUGCUAAUAGAAACCUGAUACUGAGUCUAAGGUUCCAGCCAGGGUUUAUCCAAGCAAAAGUCAUUUGUAGGUUUGUAAGAGUUUGUCUUUUUCUACUUCAAAUUAAACCAACACAAAGGGCCUAAGUGUUAAACUUUAAAGAUGAUAGGAAGGGAAAAAAUACCCCCAAGCAACAGAUUAUUAUUUAUCUACGACAGAGUAUUAGGGCCACAUGAAGAAAAAAAUUAAUUAAAAUAAGACUUUGAGAUUAAAGUCGUCAAUUUACGGGAAUAAAGUGAUUACUUACAAGAAUAAAGUUGUAAUAAAGUCAUUACUCACCAGAAUAAAGUCGUAAUAAAAUCCUAACUUAUGAGAAUAAAGUCAUAAUGAAGUAAUUACUUUCGAGAAAAGUCAGAAUAAAAUCAUUAUGGUACUUUUGAUAAUGUAGUGCUGAUGUGCCAAAAGAAUUAAGUAUCUCAUUGUUUGAGAAACCUAUAUUUAAGUACAUUUUCACAAAAUGCUUCAUGGAUCUCAUUUCAAUAAGUGUCAUCUUAAACAGCAGGUAAGAAUAUAAGGACUUUAUUAUGACUUUUUUUCUCAUAAGUAAUUAUUUUAUUACAACUUUAUUCUCCUUAGUAAUGACUUAAUUCUUUUAAGUUAAUGACUUUAAUCCCAAAGUCGUAUUUUUUUUUUUUUUUUAUUAACGUGGCCCUAAUACUUCCUCGUAUUGAUCUAAGUUUUGCACAGCCAAAAUCUCUUUUUUUUACUGAUCCGAGUGCAGUUGUUUUCUAGUUUGGGCACUUCCAAUAAAUUUUCAUUCAUUUAACUGUACUGCCAAAACUACAAAAAGAAAGGUCUGUUGAGGCUGAUAAAUAUUUCAAAUUAUCAACAUUUCCUUAAUAUCUCUGUUGUUUUAUUGUUUCAUGAAAUAUUUUAAAACAUGAAUAAAGAGUCAAAUAUUUGAAAUCUGACGUGGUCACACCAAAUGUAAAUAAAAUCAUUGAGUCAGGCACAUGUAAAGACACAUGUAGAUGAGGGUUGUCAUCAAAAGAUGCAAAUAAUGUGUUUUGUGAUGCAUUCAAUACACUACCUGCUAGAUUGGCUUAUUUAUGAGGGAUGAAAAAUCUAAAUUUAGUGGCUGGAUCAGCGUAUAUAAAUAGUAACACGCCUGUGUUACUCACAAACAGAAGUCAUGUGUUGAAGUACUUGUGCAUUACAAAUUAAAACUCCUUCAACCCCUGGCUUGUUAUGCUUAUUGGCAACAUUAGUAGCUUAGUGAGGCUUCAGCCAGUGCAUUCAGCAAUAAACAUCCAAACCACUUUAAACACACACACACACACACACGCACACACACACACACACACACACACACACACACACACACACACACACACACACACACACACACACACACACACACACACACACAGGUGCCUCAGUUCAAUUGCAAAUAUGAAUCAUUCAAGCUGGGUCUUUGGGCCAAAUAUUUGACAAGAGCUUUUUUUUUUGCCAGAAUAUUAAACCAGGUGUACUUGAGAGUGAGUUCACUUCAUUUGCUUAGUAAUCAGCAUCAAGCUCUAUCAACAUGCAUCAUCAACACUGUAACACAGCAUCACCAUCCUCUGCCCAAACUCCAACAAAAUGAAUCAAACACAACCACAACAAUAAAACAAUGCUGUGUUCAUUAAAACACCAUAACUGUGCUUCCUGCUUGAGAUGAAUAAACAGCUCUGUCUUUGUGGAAAUGGACGCCAGUGCAGAGAGUCAUGUUUGUCUUGUCUUUUUCUUGUACAAGUUUUGUACACCAGUGAAAGAUCCCUCAUCUUAUGCUGUGGGCAAGGGUACUCUUAUGAGCAUGUGAGGGCAUAAAACUGCUAAAAGCUGACUACCAGUCCUGUGCUCCUCAGAAAAAAGAGAAGGUCAGUUGGGCUUUUUCCCUGAAAGAUUGUCGUGCUGUUCAUCACUCUCUAUCUUCCCAGGUCAAACUGUACACCGUAGCUUGUUUCCAAGUUUCUGAGCUUGAUCUUUGAGGAAAAAUUGUGCAUCCGGGACCGAAUCAAACCAAAUCAAGCGCCUAAACUGUGGCAAGUGUCCUGAUGCACAAUGCACAGUUUCACGAUCAAAAUCCUCGAUGUGGUCCAGGAUGUGCUGUAAAAGCUCAACCAGCUCAGCUCUUCUUUCUAGGACAGUGCACACAAACCUACAAUUAAAUCUCCAUCUGGAUUGAGAGACUCACAGCUGCUGCAUUUCGCAAAAUUCAUCCUUCAGUUUUACGCACUUGAGAGAACGUGUACAAAAUGAUUUCAAGAAAAAAAAAAAGAUGCAGUCCUUCAUUUUUGAUGCAUAACACUAGGCCAAUGACUUUAUUAGUCAACCCUGAUGUAACACUUAAAAAUGCUAAAGCGGCUAAAUCAUCUUUUUUUUAUCCCGUGACGUUCUCAAACUUGAACAAUGAAGUUCUUCUUCUUCUAUCAGUGGCAUAACUGAGUAUAAUUGACAGCUGUGCAGUGUUGCUCCACCAGUUUUUUCCAAUGUUUAGUUAAAAACAGUGGCGUAGCAAUCUAAUCUCAAAGAGAGUAAUGCCAAGUGAGUUCCUAGAUUCAGGCUCUUACCCCCUCGUUGUGUCCCCUGAAAGAUAACUCUGGCUGCCUUCAAAAGUCUUCAAAUGUGUCACCCUGUGAGGUGAGGCUCAGUGGCCUGAUCUUUUACAGCUGCCACUGUUAAGCUAUUAAGGUUGCUAAAAACACUGGUUACUACAUAUCCAAGUUUGAUUGGCUGAUGACACGGUCAGUCAAAGCUGGAAUUAAAUGGUCGCUUUAACGAGGGGCUGGCGAUAACACUAGUGCUGGUCUGUUGAGCGCUGAUGCAUCAAGAUGACUUUAAGAUGUGUAGAAAACCCCCGCUUAGCCACAAACACACAAAAGGAGAGAGAGAGGGAAAAACAAACUAAUGGAGCCUAUACUGUAUGUUCAAAAACUGUAAGACGUAUAUGAUCCAGAAUAAAAAGAGAAACAGGAAAAGUUCAAAAAAGGGCUACUGCAAUUACAUAGCCAAGUUUAUGGCCUGGAAUCUUUAUAACAGUGCCAAAUUGACUGCAAACUGGGCAGACAUAUGAAAACGUUGCAAAAAGGAUCCAAUUAUGUUCCAACACACAACUAGAGAACUCAUUAACUGACUCGGUUCAAAUAUAACCAAAGUGCGUGAGCUUUUUAUGACACAUACAGUACCUAAAUACAGAUGCUGAGGCUGUACCCAUGUGCUCUGAGAGUGCAAAAAAGUCUCGUCUGGAAGCUGUUCAGAGCAGACCUUGGUAGUUCUUUCAGUCCCCCAGCGGGAGAGCACUCGGUGGCAAGCAGCAACCUUUUGUAGGUCUCUUUUUUUAACUCUCCUCCCUAAGCUGAGGCUUUUGCUGUUUUAGAGCCGUAGCACCAUCAGCACCUUCCUUUAUUCUCAGUAAAACUCUCCACCUGAAUUACAAAACCCGUUUCUGCUUGCAAGUGCCUCUUUAGAUUUCAAGUACAGUUCUUAGCAGGAGACAAGCUUUUGUCUUUCAGGUAUUGCUUUUAUUUUUUCAUAAAGGUAGGGUAGGCAGGAUCUGAGGAAGUGCCAGUUUUUGCGAGAAAUCUUGAAUAUAAACACUACCCCUCCCAACCAGUUUACCCCUUAGCUCCUCCUCUCCCCUCCCUCUCUGCUCCAGCAAGCCCCGCCCACAAACAGACACUCUUGCUCGCUUGUAUCAUUUCAAUUAAUUCGGAUAUUAUGCAGAUAAAUACUUCAGAUGAUUACAAAUGGAGCCCAGUCAGCGUGAAAGUAAAAAGCAUUGGUGCUACUGUAGAUGCCAACAGACUACCAGCAAACACAAUGUUUGCAGGACUUCUAAAACUAGCCUAAAUUGACAUACGCCACGACCCGAGGUAAACAGUUUAGCGGCGCUAUAACAUGCAGCAGGUCCGGCUUGACAAGAAACACUUCUGUUACACUUGGCUUACUUUGUUAAAGCGGUUUACCUGUCCAGCAGAAAGGUUACAGGGUCCGUAAGAUCCUGAAGCAUCCCGAGGACAUGGAGCGUGCCCCACAACACGAGGGAGCAGUGUCUGCUUCUCAACCAGUCAGGAUGGGAGAGGUGGAGAACGGCUUUGUUUACAGUCAGAAUGAGCGUAAUGCUAAAAAAUUUUUAAAU